rnacentral:rRNA from 1 species
GGCGGACGGCGGGGGCGUCCUUAAUACAUGCAAGGAGACCGCUGAGGGGGGAGCUUUCUUCUUCGGAUGAGUUGCGAACGGGUGAGUAACGCGUAGGUACCCUGCCUGGUAGCGGGGGAUACUAUUGGAACCGAUAGCUAAUACCGCAUAAGAGUAGAUGUUGCAUGACAUUUGCUUAAAAGGUGCAAUUGCAUCACUACCAGAUGGACCUGCGUUGUAUUAGCUAGUUGGUGGGGUAACGGCUCACCAAGGCGACGAUACAUAGCCGACCUGAGAGGGUGAUCGGCCACACUGGGACUGAGACACGGCCCAGACUCCUACGGGAGGCAGCAGUAGGGAAUCUUCGGCAAUGGACGGAAGUCUGACCGAGCAACGCCGCGUGAGUGAAGAAGGUUUUCGGAUCGUAAAGCUCUGUUGUAAGAGAAGAACGAGUGUGAGAGUGGAAAGUUCACACUGUGACGGUAUCUUACCAGAAAGGGACGGCUAACUACGUGCCAGCAGCCGCGGUAAUACGUAGGUGGCAAGCGUUAUCCGGAUUUAUUGGGCGUAAAGAGAGUGCAGGCGGUUUUCUAAGUCUGAUGUGAAAGCCUUCGGCUUAACCGGAGAAGUGCAUCGGAAACUGGAUAACUUGAGUGCAGAAGAGGGUAGUGGAACUCCAUGUGUAGCGGUGGAAUGCGUAGAUAUAUGGAAGAACACCAGUGGCGAAGGCGGCUACCUGGUCUGCAACUGACGCUGAGACUCGAAAGCAUGGGUAGCGAACAGG